CAGAGAAUAGUUUAUAAAAAAUUUUAGUUUUGGAGACUUAAGAAAGGAGAAUAACUCUUUUCUCUGA
rnacentral:tRNA from 1 species